GAUGAACGCUGGCGGCGUGCUUAACACAUGCAGGUCGAACGGAAAGGCCCGAGCUUGCUUGGGUACUCGAGUGGCGAACGGGUGAGUAACACGUGGGUGAUCUGCCCUGCACUUCGGGAUAAGCCUGGGAAACUGGGUCUAAUACCGGAUAGGACCACUUCUUGGAUGUUGUGGUGGAAAGUUUUUUCGGUGUGGGAUGAGCUCGCGGCCUAUCAGCUUGUUGGUGGGGUAAUGGCCUACCAAGGCGUCGACGGGUAGCCGGCCUGAGAGGGUGUACGGCCACAUUGGGACUGAGAUACGGCCCAGACUCCUACGGGAGGCAGCAGUGGGGAAUAUUGCACAAUGGGCGCAAGCCUGAUGCAGCGACGCCGCGUGGGGGAUGACGGCCUUCGGGUUGUAAACUCCUUUCGCUAGGGACGAAGCGUUUUGUGACGGUACCUGGAGAAGAAGCACCGGCUAACUACGUG
rnacentral:rRNA from 1 species